rnacentral:rRNA from 1 species
UACAGAGGUCUCAAGCGUUUGUUCGGAUUCAUUGGGCGUAAAGGGUGCGUAGGCGGCGCGGUAAGUCGGGUGUGAAAUCUUGGAGCUUAACUCCGAAACUGCAUUCGAUACUGCCGUGCUUGAGGACUGGAGAGGAGACUGGAAUUUACGGUGUAGCGGUGAAAUGCGUAGAUAUCGUAAGGAAGACCAGUGGCGAAGGCGGGUCUCGUGGACAGUUCCUGACGCUGAGGCACGAAGGCCAGGGGAGCAAACGGG